rnacentral:rRNA from 1 species
UACGUAGGUGGCAAGCGUUGUCCGGAAUCACUGGGCGUAAAGGGCGCGUAGGCGGUUAAUUAAGUCAGAUGUGAAAUAUCCGGGCUUAACCUGGAGGGUGCAUCUGAUACUGGAUAACUUGAGUGCAGGAGAGGGCAGUGGAAUUCCUAGUGUAGCGGUGAAAUGCGUAGAUAUUAGGAGGAACACCAGUGGCGAAGGCGGCUGCCUGGACUGUAACUGACGCUGAGGCGCGAAAGCGUGGGGAGCAAACAGGAUUAGAUACCCCCGUAGUCC